rnacentral:rRNA from 1 species
CCUACGGGGGGCAGCAGUGGGGAAUAUUGGACAAUGGGGGCAACCCUGAUCCAGCCAUGCCGCGUGUGUGAAGAAGGCCCUCGGGUUGUAAAGCACUUUCAGUGAGGAAGAACGCCUGGUGGUUAAUACCCAUCAGGAAAGACAUCACUCACAGAAGAAGCACCGGCUAACUCCGUGCCAGCAGCCGCGGUAAUACGGAGGGUGCGAGCGUUAAUCGGAAUUACUGGGCGUAAAGCGCGCGUAGGUGGCUUGAUAAGCCGGUUGUGAAAGCCCCGGGCUCAACCUGGGAACGGCAUCCGGAACUGUCAAGCUAGAGUGCAGGAGAGGAAGGUAGAAUUCCCGGUGUAGCGGUGAAAUGCGUAGAGAUCGGGAGGAAUACCAGUGGCGAAGGCGGCCUUCUGGACUGACACUGACACUGAGGUGCGAAAGCGUGGGUAGCAGACAGGAUUAGAUACCCCAGUAGUC